rnacentral:rRNA from 1 species
AGAGUUUGAUCCUGGCUCAGGAUGAACGCUGGCGGCGUGCCUAACACAUGCAAGUCGAGCGAGAAACUGACAGAUGAAACUUCGGUAGAUUCAGUCGGUGGACAGCGGCGGACGGGUGAGUAACGCGUGGGCAACCUGCCCUUCACUGGGAGAUAGCCGCGGGAAACUGCGAGUAAUAUCCCAUAAUGCAGCAUAUCUACAUGGAUAAGCUGCCAAAGAUUCAUCGGUGAAGGAUGGGCCCGCGUCUGAUUAGCUAGUUGGUAAGGUAGCGGCUUACCAAGGCGACGAUCAGUAGCCGGCCUGAGAGGGCGGACGGCCACAUUGGAACUGAGACACGGUCCAGACUCCUACGGGAGGCAGCAGUGGGGAAUAUUGCACAAUGGGCGAAAGCCUGAUGCAGCGACGCCGCGUGAGGGAAGAAGGCCUUCGGGUCGUAAACCUCUGUCCAAGGGGAAGAAAAAAAUGACGGUACCCUUGGAGGAAGCCCCGGCUAACUACGUGCCAGCAGCCGCGGUAAUACGUAGGGGGCAAGCGUUAUCCGGAAUUACUGGGCGUAAAGAGUGCGUAGGUGGCUGCUCAAGCGCGGGGUUUAAGACAACGGCCCAACCGUUGUCCGCCCCGCGAACUGGGUAGCUUGAGUACAGGAGAGGAAGGCGGAAUUCCUAGUGUAGCGGUGAAAUGCGUAGAUAUUAGGAGGAACACCGGUGGCGAAGGCGGCCUUCUGGACUGUCACUGACACUGAGGCACGAAAGCGUGGGUAGCAAACAGGAUUAGAUACCCUGGUAGUCCACGCCGUAAACGAUGAGCACUAGGUGUCGGGUACGUGAGUAUUCGGUGCCGCAGCUAACGCAUUAAGUGCUCCGCCUGGGGAGUACGCACGCAAGUGUGAAACUCAAAGGAAUUGACGGGGACCCGCACAAGCAGCGGAGCAUGUGGUUUAAUUCGAAGCAACGCGAAGAACCUUACCAGGGCUUGACAUCCCUCUGACAGAUCGGGUAACGCUGAUCUUCUCUUCGGAGCAGAGGUGACAGGUGGUGCAUGGUUGUCGUCAGCUCGUGUCGUGAGAUGUUGGGUCAAGUCCCGCAACGAGCGCAACCCCUACUGUCAGUUGCCAUCAUUAAGUUGGGCACUCUGACGGGACUGCCGGGGAUAACCCGGAGGAAGGCGGGGAUGACGUCAAAUCAUCAUGCCCCUUAUGUCCUGGGCGACACACGUGCUACAAUGGCCAGCACAGAGGGAAGCCAAGGAGCGAUCCGGAGCAAAACCCCAAAGCUGGCCCCAGUUCGGACUGCAGGCUGAAACCCGCCUGCACGAAGCCGGAGUUGCUAGUAAUCGCGGAUCAGAAUGCCGCGGUGAAUGCGUUCCCGGGUCUUGUACACACCGCCCGUCACACCAUGGAAGCCGGGGGUGCCCGAAGUCGGUCGUCAAACAGACUGCCUAAGGCAAAACCGGUGACUGGGGUGAAGUCGUAACAAGGUAACCGU